GAUGAACGCUGGCGGCGUGCCUAAUACAUGCAAGUCGAGCGAACAGACGAGGAGCUUGCUCCUCUGACGUUAGCGGCGGACGGGUGAGUAACACGUGGAUAACCUACCUAUAAGACUGGGAUAACUUCGGGAAACCGGAGCUAAUACCGGAUAAUAUAUUGAACCGCAUGGUUCAAUAGUGAACGACGGUUUUGCUGUCACUUAUAGAUGGAUCCACGCCGCAUUAGCUAGUUGGUAAGGUAACGGCUUACCAAGGCAACGAUGCGUAGCCGACCUGAGAGGAUGAUCAGCCACACUGGAACUGAGACACGGUCCAGACUCCUACGGGAGGCAGCAGUAGGGAAUCUUCCGCAAUGGGCGAAAGCCUGACGGAGCAACGCCGCGUGAGUGAUGAAGGUCUUCGGAUCGUAAAACUCUGUUAUUAGGGAAGAACAAAUGUGUAAGUAACUAUGCACGUCUUGACGGUACCUAAUCAGAAAGCCACGGCUAACUACGUG
rnacentral:rRNA from 1 species